AGAGUUUGAUCAUGGCUCAGAAUGAACGUUGGCGGCGUGGAUUAGGCAUGCAAGUCGAGCGAGAAAGUUCCUUCGGGAACUGGACAGCGGCGAAAGGGAGAGUAACGAGUAGAUUAUCUGCCCCGAGGACCGGGAUAGCGGCGGGAAACUGCCGGUAAUACCGGAUAACAUCUCCGGAUCAAAGGUGUGAUUCCGCCUUGGGAUGAGUCUGCUUCCUAUUAUUGCUUGUUGGUGUGGUAACGGCGCACCAAGGCUAAGAUGGGUACCGGGUGUGAGAGCAUGGCCCGGCUCACUGGGACUGAGACACUGCCCAGACACCUACGGGUGGCUGCAGUCGAGAAUCUUCGGCAAUGGGCGAAAGCCUGACCGAGCGACGCCGCGUGCGGGAUGAAGGCCCUCGGGUUGUAAACCGCUGUCAGUGGGGAGCAAAUCUCUUGAGGUUAUCCUCUUGAGUUGAGCUAUCCGCAGAGGAAGUACGGGCUAAGUUCGUGCCAGCAGCCGCGGUAAGACGAACCGUACGAACGUUAUUCGGAAUCACUGGGCUUAAAGAGUUCGUAGGCGGCUAUGUAGGUGGGAUGUGAAAGCCCUCGUCUCAACCGAGGAACUGCGUUCCAAACCACAUAGCUUGAGGAGGAUAGAGGUGAGCGGAACUGAUGGUGGAGCGGUGAAAUGCGUUGAUAUCAUCAGGAACACCAGA
rnacentral:rRNA from 1 species